UACGUAGGUCGCAAGCGUUGUCCGGAUUUACUGGGCGUAAAGAGCGCGCAGGCGGCUGGCCAAGUCCGAUGUGAAAUCUCCCGGCUUAACCGGGAAACUGCAUCGGAAACUGGUCGGCUUGAAGGCAGGAGAGGGUAGUGGAAUUCCCGGUGUAGUGGUGAAAUGCGUAGAUAUCGGGAGGAACACCAGUGGCGAAGGCGACUACCUGGCCUGUUCUUGACGCUGAGGCGCGAAAGCUAGGGGAGCAAACGGG
rnacentral:rRNA from 1 species